UGGUAGGAAAGACCGCCAUGCAAUGGGAAGACGUGAUGUGGAGUGAAAUAUAGUAACGAAGCCCGUGAGCCAUGCGUCAAGAAAAGCCGCUAUUGUUUAUAUUGUACCCGUACCGUAAACCGACACAGGUGGAUGAGGAGAGAAUCCUAAGGCCGGCGGAAGAAGUAUUGCUAAGGAACUCGGCAAAAUGGCCCCGUAACUUAGGGAGAAGGGGUGCCUGCGAGAGCAGGCCGCAGAGAAUAGGCUCAAGCAACUGUUUAGCAAAAACACAGGUCUAUGCGAAACCGAAAGGUGAGGUAUAUGGGCUGACGCCUGCCCGGUGCUGGAAGGUUAAGAGGAGAGGUUAGACGCAAGUCGAAGCUUUGAAUUUAAGCCCCAGUAAACGGCGGCCGUAACUAUAACGGUCCUAAGGUAGCGAAAUUCCUUGUCGGGUAAGUUCCGACCCGCACGAAAGGCGUAAUGAUUUGAGCGCUGUCUCGGCAAUACAUCCGGUGAAAUUGAAGUGCCAGUGAAGAUGCUGGCUACCCGCGCCAGGACGGAAAGACCCCAUGGAGCUUUACUCCAGUUUGGCACUGGGGUCCGGUGUUGCAUGUACAGGAUAGGUGGGAGGCUGAGAGAUGGUGACGUCAGUUGCUAUGGAGUCGCUGUUGGGAUACCACCCUUGUGAUAUUGGGCUUCUAACCAGCCGCCGUGAACCGGCGGUGGGACAAUGCCAGGCGGGGAGUUUGACUGGGGCGGUCGCCUCCGAAAGGGUAUCGGAGGCGCCCAAAGGUUCCCUCAGAAUGGACGGAAACCAUUCGAAGAGUGCAAAGGCAGAAGGGAGCUUGACUGCGACACCGACGGGUGGAGCAGGUACGAAAGUAGGGCUUAGUGAUCCGGUGGUAUUAAGUGGGAAUGCCAUCGCUCAACGGAUAAAAGCUACCCUGGGAUAACAGGCUUAUCACUCCCAAGAGUUCACAUCGACGGAGUGGUUUGGCACCUCGAUGUCGGCUCAUCGCAUCCUGGGGCUGUAGUAGGUCCCAAGGGUUGGGCUGUUCGCCCAUUAAAGCGGUACGCGAGCUGGGUUCAGAACGUCGUGAGACAGUUCGGUCCCUAUCCGGCGUGGGCGUAGGAUAUCUGAGAGGAGCUGUCCUUAGUACGAGAGGACCGGGAUGGACGGACCGCUGGUGGACCGGUUGGCUUGCCAAAGCCAUGGCCGGGUAGCCAAGUCCGGAAGGGAUAAACGCUGAAGGCAUCUAAGCGUGAAGCCCCCCUCAAGAUGAGAUAUCCCAUUCUUUAAGAAGUAAACCCCCUUGAAGACGACGAGGUAGAUAGGGCAGAGGUGGAAGUGUGGUAACACAUGGAGCUGACUGUUACUAAUCGGGUGAGGGCUUGAC
rnacentral:rRNA from 1 species